rnacentral:rRNA from 1 species
CCUACGGGAGGCAGCAGUGGGGAAUAUUGGACAAUGGGCGCAAGCCUGAUCCAGCAAUGCCGCGUGGAUGAAGAAGGUCUUCGGAUUGUAAAGUCCUUUCGGCGGGGACGAUGAUGACGGUACCCGCAGAAGAAGCCCCGGCUAACUUCGUGCCAGCAGCCGCGGUAAUACGAAGGGGGCUAGCGUUGCUCGGAAUGACUGGGCGUAAAGGGCGCGUAGGCGGUUUGGUCAGUUAGACGUGAAAUUCCUGGGCUCAACCUGGGGACUGCGUUUAAGACGGCCAGGCUUGAGUGUGAAAGAGGGUCGUGGAAUUCCCAGUGUAGAGGUGAAAUUCGUAGAUAUUGGGAAGAACACCGGUGGCGAAGGCGGCGACUUGGUUCAUUACUGACGCUGAGGCGCGAAAGCGUGGGGAGCAAACAGGAUUAGAUACCCUGGUAGUCCACGCCGUAAACGAUGUGUGCUGGAUGUUGGGUGACCUAGUCACUCAGUGUCGUAGCUAACGCGAUAAGCACACCGCCUGGGGAGUACGGCCGCAAGGUUGAAACUCAAAUGAAUUGACGG